rnacentral:rRNA from 1 species
CGCACGCAGGCGGUCUGUCAAGUCGGAUGUGAAAUCCCCGGGCUCAACCUGGGAACUGCAUCCGAAACUGGCAGGCUAGAGUCUUGUAGAGGGGGGUAGAAUUCCAGGUGUAGCGGUGAAAUGCGUAGAGAUCUGGAGGAACACCGGUGGCGA